rnacentral:lncRNA from 1 species
CGGAGCAUAUCAAUUGCAAAUAGGACAUUUUAGAACAUAUCAGUUCAUAGCAAAUGGAGCACAGAGUAAUUGGAGCAUAUCAAUAGCGUACGAGAUGUUCCGGAGCAUAUCAAUGGCAAAUGGAACAUUUCGGAACAUAUCAAUGGUAUGCGAAGCAUUUUGAUGUAUAUCAAUGGCAUAGGAAACAUUUUGGAGCAUAUCAAUACAAAAUACGAAAUAGAAGCUCAAACGUCGUACCCUAGCAUAGUGCAUGUGAGGUUUAACUCAGUGGUGGCUCCACGCCGUGAUGAGUUCUCGAAUCCAUCCAUGGGUAGCCCUUUCCUACUCGAGCCCUCUCACCCUGCCCAAGUGCUAGGUCGGCCCUGAAUUUCAUAUCAAACAUAUAGAAGGUGAAGUGGGAUUCCAAACAUAAUAUGGUCUAUCCAUUUCUGAAUGACCACCAAACAUAAUCUAGAGCAUCGCGGGCUCUAAGCACAUACCCUUUACCAUUUCUGGCAAAGGUUCAAAUAAUCCCACAAACACCAGAGUACAAAAGGGUAUUGUGAAUAACAAAUUGGGACAUAUCGGAAGCAUAUGCGGAACAACGAAAUGUACAUGUGCCUUUAUGAAACAUUACGACACAAACAUGAAGUUUACAUAACAGAUUUAGGUAUCCAAAUACAUGUAGGACAAGAGCAUACAAGAAUUCAAAGCAGUAAUAUAAAGCUCAAUUGAAUAAGAAAGCUAAAGGAUAUCAAUUUCCAAAGGAAUGAAACCAGAAUAUGCGAAAUCGACCAAAGCUCGAUUUCUGGCAGAAUUCAAGAGGCACAUUUAACAAAUGAUUCAAACUAUCAAUCGUGCUCCAAUAUACUCAAGAAAGCUAUCAAAAGAAAGGUUUAUGAGUCUAUAUUCUGAUCAAAAAAUUAUUGUCCAAAUCAGAGGUCAAUACAUGAAGUUAUAAUCAUAACAAGGUAGAAAGGUCAGAAUCUCAGAAGUUGCACAGAUUCGGAUCGUUACGUCUAAACAUGAGAUAUAUCAAAUGCAAGGCUAGAACAAUUC